ACCAGCAGCCAUAUCACCCUGCAACUCACAACUGGCAGCCCACUGAAGCUAAGCAGGUAUGGGCCUAGUCAGUACCUGGAUGGGAGACCUCCUGGGAAAAACUAAGGUUGCUACUGGAA
rnacentral:rRNA from 1 species